GCUGGACACCAUAAUACAUGUUUGUCAUCCCAGCUUCCAGGGUAGUAGUGGCGGUGGGAAGGGGCUCAGUGACUGAGGAAGAGAACCUCUUGAGCUCAUGAGGUCUGAAGUGAGUGUGCUAUGCCCAUCAAGUUUCCAUACUAAGUUCAACAUCAGUAUGAUGACCUCCCAAGAACAGGAGAUCACCAGUUUGUCUAAGGAAGGGGAAAGUGGUCCAGGUCAGAAAUGAAGCAGGUCAAAACACUUGUGCAAAUGGAUAGUGAGACUUCACCUGUGAAUGACCACUGCUCUUCAACCUGAACCACAUAGUGAGACCUCGUU
ensembl:misc_RNA Metazoa_SRP Metazoan signal recognition particle RNA